UUUGAAGCUGGAAUAGAUGCAAAGAUUUGAUUGAUCUUAAUUAUAGGAAAUAAUGUUGUAAGACUUGAAACUGACCUAUUCAGGAUAGUAGCAUCAUUGAAGAAUUUCUCAACUACGGAAUGGCGGUUAGAUCUGAAGGAAAAUAUGAAAUUACUACUGUCUACGAGGAUAGACUUAUCAAGCUUCUGCAUAAUACAUGUUGCUACACUUUUAUUGUGAACAUCUCCAGGACUGACUUAAUUAAAUGAUGAUUUUUGAACUUGAUGCUUGUUAUAUUUUUGUAGUUCUGACAGUAGCAUAAUCUUUGCAAUGCAUUGAUAAUAAGACACGAGUGCCAGAGGCCUGAUCAGGUACUUGGACCUACUGGUAUAGCGUAGUAGAGUUUCUCACAUUAAUAAGUGAGUGGUAGUUUGUAAAUUGGAGGGACUCAUAACCAACUAUUUUUUUAUUGGGAGCUUGUUUCUUCAGUCUUCAUGUCUCUUUCAUUAAUGAGACUGCACUCUAAGGACUGUACUGCUACUAUUCUCAUAACAAUAAUUGCUUUAAGUUCUUGGUGUAUCUAGGAACAAUUAUAUAAAACAUUUAAAAAU
rnacentral:lncRNA from 1 species